GCCAACAGCAACAUUGUAUCUGUGGCAGCAAGUUCCACACUUUCUUCAUGAUGGGACUGUGACGUCGAAUUUUACAGUACAGAAGGAGGUCAUCCGACCCAUCCUAAUUCUAGACUCUCCCAACAUCGUUAAACAUCCAUAGAGAAUGCUGGAGGAACUCAGCAAGUCUGGCAACAUCUGUGGAGCGAGAAAUAGAGUUCAAGUUUCAAGUGCAGUAUGACUUACCUCAGGGGGAAAACAUCCUCCCUGCAUCUCAUCUGUCCGGCCUUGUUAGAAUUAUAUACGUUUCAAUCAGGUCCCAUCUCACCCUUCUUUCCGCCAGUGAAGACAGGCCCAGUUAAACCAAUGUCUCCUCAUAGAGGCUGACGUUUCGGGCCUAGACCCUUCAUCAGAAAAGGGGGAGGGGAAGGGGGGGCUGCUUGGCCUGCUGUGUUCAUCCAGCCCUGCACCUUGUUGUCUCGGAUUCACCAGCAUCUGCAGUUCCAACUAUCUCUGUCUCCUCACAGAACAGUCUUACAGUGCUCAAUACCAGCCAAGUGAAUCUCCACUGUGCUCCCUCUAAGAGGGUGGUUCGCGUGAGGAAUCAACUUCUUGAGGAAGUGGUGGAUCCAGGCACAGUUACAACAUUUAAAAGACACGUAGAUAAGAAGAAUGCUCUUGUUCUCGAAGGAGCGCAGCGAAGGUUUACCAGGCUGAUUCCGGGGAAUGGGGCCUGUUCACACAGGACGGCAGGAUAUGAAGCAAAAUUAUUUU